AGCAGAGAGUUGUAGUAUCCAUCAACAUUGAGCAGACCCACCUGCAGAAAAUUUGUUUAGAUGAUUUUGGUGCUUGAAUUUUCCAAUAAAAUUCGAAACUUUGAAGAUAUGAGUGUUUUUUACCGGCUUCUCAUGUAUUCCAAGCUGAGCCCAAGUUAUGACCUCAAGCAAUUCUUCAAGUGUUCCAUAACCACCUGCAAAUUUUACAUAAAACUUUAGAUUUGAUUUGUUAAAAAAUAGAGAGAGGAGAUUAAUCAGUUAAUGGUCAAGUCAACAAGUGAGUCAUGCACAAGACAAAACCAAAUAAUAGAUUCUUCUUCAUCUCUGUUACAGUUUGUACAUCGGUACGUAUGAAUAUGAUUACAAAAGUAGGAUCUUUGAAAGAACUUGACUUUCCAUUAAUGAUUUCAGAUUCAGUGUGGGCAAAGAUAUGCUAUUUGUGGGACUGUUUCAGGUUUUGUCUCUUAACUUGAAAUGGGUAAGAAGAAAACUUUGGUCACGGUAUGACUACACAAGCUAUGUAGAGAGUACCCCCUAAGUUAAAAGCAGAGCAAUAAACAGAGUAAAGAGAAGAGAAAAUAAAAGGUCUAAUUUUUAGUGCCAGAUGUUGAUGGGUCAAGGCCUUUAUCUUAGACUCUGGUGACUUUUAUUAUUUUACAUUUUCCAUACAAAAAAAAAUAAAACCUUUCACAGUUGCUUUCACAUCUGCAGCUUGACCAAGAAAUCAUGUUCUUACCAAAUUCGUUUCUUCUCUCUUUUGCAAAAUCAGUUUUAUUUUAUUUUCUUUUAUUUUCAUGAACAAAUAAUCAUCCUUUUACAUUUUGAUUUCCCUUACAAUUUUCUAAGAAGCUAAAAAAAGGCCUAAGCUGGUGUUCCUGAGGUUCCUUAUGUCACUAGAGUUUGACCAGUUUUACUUAUUGCUUUGUUUGAAAGAAAAGCAAAAUUUUGAGGUUUAUAAAUAAUUUAUUAUUUUUUAUAAAAAAGGAAAUAAAAUGAUGAUAAUUUGGGUGGAGGGGGUUUAAAAACAAAACCUGGUAAGGCAAUAAAAGCAUCAGAGUGCUUAGCCAUCUCAGCUUUCCUUUGGUGCAUAUCUGCAACUGCUCUUACUUCUCCUACUGUUUCACCAGUCAACUGCCAAAACACAAAGAGCAUCCAUCCACCAAUUUUUUAAAUAAAAGGAAGUAAUAAUUAAAAGUAGUUAAAGGGAAAAAGCAGCUUUGGACUCUUCUACAGGCAAAAGCAAUGAUGGCAAUGCAAGUAAUCGUAAAUAUUUGGCUGUUUUUGAAAUUUCUUACAUACUCCAUUUUAUUUUUCACAGAGCCCUAAUCUAGUUAACCACUUUUUCAUCAUUUUCUUCAAAUACCCUUUUGUUUAAAAUAAAAGAAAAAUAGAAGAUAUUUUUAUUUUAUUUUAGGAUACCUAAAGGGAAGAAGAGGAGGCAGAAAAGAGAAAUUACUCAUAAUCAUGACUUAAGAAAAGGUAAUUAUAAAUAGGGAGAAGAGUAAAACCGAAGCAAAGACUGUUGAAGAUUAAAUAUGGUUUGAAUGGGGAUUUAGAGAAGUAAUAACAAAUAACAAUGUUUAUUUAGUUUUAAAAAACAUGAAAAGUUCAUACCUCUCUAGGCAUGAGGGUCUUGGGAAUAAUUCUGUAGAGUGACAACAAGAUGACAAAAAGAGGUUUAAUUAGAAGUAAUCAACAACAUAGCCCAACAAUGGUGUUCCAUCACAAACUCGGGAGAUAGUUUUCUUUUGUAUGAUCUUAACAAUAACGAUCACAAAUUUGUUAAGAAAAGAGAUUAAUGAAAUUUUAAGGGCUGUGGCUGAUAAAAAAGUUACCCAAUAACAUGACGACCACCAUCAUGAACAGCUUGUGAAACCAAACCCAUCAGUCCUAUGCUCCCACCUCCAUAGACUAGAUCAAUAUUCCUUGAAACCUGCGACCAAAAAAAAACAGAGUUUCACAUGAAGCCUAAAUUUGGUAAUAAGUGGAAGACAGAAAAAUCGAAGCUUUGAGAUUAAAACCCGUAUAACAGAGCAGCAAGCACAAUAUUCCAAAGUUUAAAUCAUUUGGCACGUUUCAAAGAAGAAUGAAAAAAUGCUCUGCAUUUGCAAAAUUAUACAGACACAUAUCUUGUGAACAUAAAUUUAUCAAAACCCACAAAAAAUUACAAAUUUGUAGAACAUGAUGAAAGCAAAGAAGCACAUCAUCUUAAGUCUUAACCCAAAAUCCACCACAAGAAUCAAAGACAUGAAUACGUUGAAAGUCAUAUAUGUAUUACCAGUUCGUUGCCGAGAUCAACAGCAGCAUCUUGGUAACUACUCUUCUUGCCCUGGCUGCUUCCACAGAAGACGCAGAUUCUUCUGAACUUUGACUUUUGCAUCAUCGUUUCAGCUUUGAUCUCCAUUGAUUCUGAUCUCCAACUUCUAAAAGGUAAAGGUUUCUUUGAGCACAAGAAGCUAAUUUCUAUACGAGUGUCAAAGAAACCUACUUGAAAUCUCCAAACUCUUUUUUUUCUCCUGGUGUUGUAUUGUAUCUUCACCACUAAUGUUCCUGGCUCAAGGAUUGUUGUUAUAUAGUGCGUCGUCUCGUCAUGCUCGUCAUUGAUCUAAUUUAAUUUUUUAAUUACUUACUUUUUUUGGGUUUUUUUGGAACGACGACACUAGUCAGUUAAUAUAAUACUACAAAAUUUUGAGAAAAGCGAUUAGUAAAACUUAGAAACACUUUUGAAAUGUUUUACUAGAAAGAAAAAAAAAGAUAUGGUGUUUUAAAAAAUCAAAUGACUUUUUGGUAAAAAAAUUUUAACCUAAAGAAAAAAAUUAUUUUCUAGAAAUAUCAAAACAUAAUGUUAUACCUACAUUUAUACGAACUAAUACAUAUUUUAUGGGAAAUAAAGAAAUAAAGCAUAUGGAAUUUUAAAAAAAUAUUCCUUUAUGGGGGUAUUUUCCCUACAAAAAAAUGGAUUUGUUAAUAUUGAGGUCUUCACACGUGAGAGAUUAAAGCACGCGCGUCGUUCACCACCCGCACAUACAGCUCAUGUUGGCACGCGUGACCAAGUUCUUCCUUGUGUUAAUUUUCCUCUUAAAUAUCGUUAUUAUUUUGGUCCCAAAAAAAAUAUAUCGUUAUUAUUUUCCUCGUACCAGAAACUUUUGUUAUGAUCAUCAAGGUAAACCUUCGUUAUGGACCUUAUGGUUGGACAAACUCGUGUACUGCUGAGACAGAGAGAAAGAUACAUAGACUUACGAACACCUGACUAUUUUGGAAGAAGAAAAAAAGAUUAUGUAUUAAGUAUUUAAGUGAUACAUUAUUUUUUAACUGUAUUGCGUCAAAAUUUCUUAAGGGAAAAAUUAUUUGUAUGUUGUGUUUGCUUACAUUGUUUCCACGAAAUCUCACUGCAAAUAGGUCAAAUACAAAAUCUGCGAUGAUAAUUUUCUUAUAGUUACUCAAAUUUAUAUUCCAAUUAUAUCACCUAAGAGAAAAAUUAUUUGUAACAAAGUACAUCUGAUUAAAGCAAUUCAAUACAAAUGAAAAACAUGUGAUUUCUAACAAGCACUUAAUAAGUCCUCGGAGUCUAAACACGAUAUAUCAUGAAUCCUUAAGAUGGGCAUGCAUGGCGUUUCUACUUUGACAAAAAACAUGGCAUUUCUAUCUAAUCCUCAAACAAAUGUCAAUUUCUCCUAUUUCUAAUGAUUAAAUAAAUAAUUACCUUUUUGGUUAAAAAAUAAUUUAUCACUUAAAUACUUAAUACACGUUGAAGUUUUCCACUUUUCUGAGAAGUAAAAAAUCAAAUAUUCACAAACUUCAACUGUAUUUUUGUAUCAAACCAAAAUAUGAGGCUUUCCUCGUGUGUUUUGUCUCUCGAAACUUGUAUCGAACUGACUCAAUUCUUUAUAUUCUUAUCGAUAAAUGUGGCUAGUCGAACUGGUGUAGACAUAACAUUUUCAUGUGUUUUGCCAUUUCCUUUUCUCCAUAUGCUACAAACCGUGGAAUAAAGAACAUAGCUCAAAAUGAAAACUGCAAUACGCUCUUGCGUAUAGGGUUCGAGAUAAUCGUAGUAAUGACAUCCCAAUCGGUGGCGUAAUUAUAUUUGAGGCUACGUCGUUUCAGCUUCUCCCAAAUUUAAGCUGAAAAUGGACAUGUGAAAAAAUGGUUCCUCGACUCCAUAAGAUCUUGCCAUAAUAUACAUGAUGUCCAAACGAAUAAAGAAGUGAAAGAAACAUGUAAAAACAGAUUUUAUACAUAUAUAUAUGAAGUUUCUUCUUGUAUGUUUUAUUUUAUAAAUAGCAUACUAGAGAAGUAAAUUAAUAUGCAGAACCUAUAAUAUGUGGAUAAUUAAGUUAACUAAUACACUUACAUUAAUGAAUACCAUGUUCCGUUAAUUAAGUAAUGAACACCAUGAUAAUUAUCAUGCCAUAAAUAACAAAAUAUGAUUUUACUGUCAAUUAUGCAGUAAAUUUCUUUUAUACCAAUAUAAUAAAGCCCUCUUGCGAUAUCUAUUAUAUUAAAACAGAAGCACAUUUAGUACUUGCUUCCAAACACUUUUAAUUUUUUUAAGUGUUUAAAAAUAAUUUUAAUAAUUAUUUUUAUUUAAUUUCGAAAAUUAGUUAUUAAUUUAAAUAUUUUUAGAGUUCCUUAAAUAUAGGUAAUUUAAAUUUGAUUUGAUUUGAUUAAAAAUAAUAAAUCAGAUAUUAAUUUAGAUUUGAUUUAAAGAUUCUAAUUUAAAUAAUUUCUAUACUAUUAAACAUUUUUAUCAAAAAUAUCUAGAAUUUUUGAAAAAAAAAUUCACAUAUGAAAAUAAUGGUCAUAUUUGAAAUAGAAGAUAUUUAUAAUGAUGUAAAUGAUAUGAUAUUUAUGUUGUUUAUAUAAUAUAUUUACGAUUAUGAUUUAUUUACAAAUUAAUAAUAAAAUAAUUGGUAAAAUUCAAAUGUAUAAUUUAAAUAUUAAAAAUAUAUUUUUUAAAAUUCAUAAAACUAAAAAUAUAUAUAAAAACCGGGUUAAAAAUAUUUUGGUAACUAAUAUCACUAAUUUUGAAUUAUACAUGUAUAUCGAAAAUAUAUUUUUCAUACAAAAUCAAAACAUAAAAAACUAAAAAUUAUUGCAUACACUAUAUGUGGUUUGAAAAAUCAGUUAUACACUCCUUUCGUUGAUUAAUUUUAGAAAACUAUAAUGCUAAAUAAUAUUGUUAAUACAUCUCAAACUUUUAACAAAUAUUUAUAUUAUACAGUAAUAUGAACGGAAAAAUUAGAAUUAUGUUUUUAUAAUAGUUCAUUUUGAAUUGAUAUUAGCGGACGGGUUAAAUUAUAUUUUUAUAAUCAUAGUUAAUUUUAAUACUAUAAAAAUAUAUCUAAACACAAAAAUCAAUAUUUUUGCUUAUUAAAAAAAUAUAUUUAUAAAAAUAAUUAUAUCUAAACUCAAAAACACAAAUUAUAUUACAAAUUUUGUUAAAUAAUAAAAAAUAUUAUAAACAAUAAAGAAUCUAGUAUCUCUUAAAAAAAAGCGCUCAAUGAAACAAAAAUCAGUUUUACAAUUUUUAAAAUUGAUUCAGUGAUAAAGCUUCCUCACUUUUUCCCCCCUUUAUCAAGAAUAGGACAAAUAAUUCAUUUUCGAUAUAAAGAUAGUCAAAAAAUGGACAGCUUAUAUCUGGACAGUGUAAGAUGGGUACAAACGUUAUUUACUGAUACUCAUGCAAAGAAAUAACCAAAAAUAACCAAGACAAGAAAAACCCAAUAAUAUAAUUUAAUGGAACCAUGGAGACGUUAUGGGUACACUAAUAUAUAUAACAACACAAAUUUAAUAAUAUAUAGAAUGAAGAAGUUAAAGAGAUGAUGAUGUCUGGGAUAUGGAGCAAUGUGCCAUUGAUGAUUGAAAUAAGAAACACAAAGUGAGUUAUGGCUUUUAUUACCAAUGUAGCCCAAUUCACCCUCCCUAUGUAGACAACCUUCUUCGUGUUCUUUGCAUAGGAAACAUUUCUUCUCUUUUUUAUUCCCGUCUAUUCAUUUUAACCUUUUUUAAUAUAAUUUUAUUCAAAAGAAAAUUCUAAAGCUUUCUCCCAUCUUCUUGUGUAACUUUCUCUUUCUAAUUCCACUUGGUGUUAUCGCUCCAUAUAUAUAUAUAUAUAUUGUCGCAUUAAUGGAUAAUUCAUUUGUUUUUUUUCUUUUUAAUUUUGUUGUUUUUAAAAUUUGUUUUUUAUGUUAUUCUUCUAUAGUUUUGUUUUUCACUAAAAAACACUAUAAAGAAGUGCUGAUAGAAAUGUAAACGACAAAUAUGUUCUGGAUAAUGAAGAAAUACAUAGUACGUUUAACACGGCAAAAGAUGUGGUAUGAUAAGAAAUUAGAAAAUGAUUUGAAUAUAAUUUCGACAGAUUAUAAUUUCGUUCGUUUUUCAAUCUAGCUCGAACUGCUUCGCUGAUUGACAAAGUUAGAAGUGAAAGCAAUUGCAAGAUCAAAAACAUCACCAACCAAAAACCUCUAAUGUUGAUCCAUCAUCAGAACUCAUAACUUGACCAAAAAGUAAAAAAUCAUUAUUAAUAACACAUCUAGUCUAAUAUUAUAGUUGGUUUUAAAAAACUUUAGUGCGAACUAUCAAUCUAGAAUAUCCCACUUGAAAGAAAAGAAAAAAAAUCUAAGAGACUCCAUCACCCCACUUAAUAAACUCUGAAAAGAGUUCCAAUAAAUUUGUGGUCGAAGUUAUAAGCUAAAUGUAUCAUUAUCAUAAGGUAUAGUAUGAAACUAUGAUAUUGAGCUUUUUAUUUAGUCUUUUUCUUUUACAAUUAAGAACUCAUCAUAACAUAACCCUAUUGGAUUGCUGGCUUGGAAUGGCAGUAACCCCCACACUCUUAUACUUAACUGUAAGCGGACACUUACAAUAUAAUUAAUACCAUGUUUAUUUGUUUAUAAUAUGUGUAUAAGCGUGUGAGUAUUUAACUAAGAAAAUUAAAUAAUUGCAAUCCCAAGAUCUGAGCAGAUGCUGCCCAUUCCUCCUAUGUAGGGUUAUAGAGAUUAUAAACAAAUAAGUAAGUUUGUAAAUUAGUGUGUAUUAGUAUCUGCAUGCUUGCAUGCGCAUUUAUCCCCUUUUUUUUAUACUUCUUCUCUAGUUUUCCCUCCACAUUCUUCUUGGGUUUUUCACUCCCGACCCAAUUUUAAUGUUAGUUUAACAAACAUGACGAUGGUAGUGAUAUCACAAUUUCAUUAGAUAACAAUUGCAGUCUAGUUAAAUAGAAAGAUUAUAUAUGAAAAUGGAUAUUUUUGGUUUCAUACUCAAAUAUUUUUAAUUUAAUACCUCUGUACAGAAAAAACGAAAAAGAGGACUUAUUAGAAAAGUAAAUAUGCGAAGAUUUUUAUUUUGGCUUUAAAGUCUAAUAUUCUGUCCUCAGUCGUUUUUACAUGAUGUCAAAGACUUGUAUAGUAAUAGUAGCAUAGCAUUAACGAAGACCUAACGGAACUAAUCUAAAUCACUUGAAAAGGAGAUUGGUUUUUAUUUUUCAAAAGAAUGUACUAGUUGUCAUAGGAGUAGCUCAUUUUGUUUAUAAAAGGGUUCUACGCAUUCAUAAAUAAAGUAUUUUAAAUUAUUUUCGAGUAGUUCUCAAUCUUUAGUAAUUAGAAACGGUCGACAUUCAUUUUAGCAUUUUUGAAUUUUCUUUUGCGAAAAAGAGUUUCAGUUAAAUUAGAAAAGUUCCGAAAGCUGAAACGUUGACCAUUUUAUGAUUACUUUCUGAGUAACUUUGUUAUAUUAAUUAAAAGUGCAGAAUACGAUUUUGUAGAGUAAUAUAAAGCGAGUAGAUUAUUUUACCGACAAAGAGUCACCAAGGUAUUAGUAUAAAACAAGCUCAUCAGUUUCUAUACAUAUGAAGGAAAGGCUCCUCACUUUCUAUCUGACAAAAUUUUUUUUUUUUGUUAGAAUAUUCUUCAUAUAUUCCUGACAAAAGGAAAUGCUUAAUUUAAUCUGUUUUAAUAUUAAGGAAGAUGUAACUAAAAUUACUAAGGAAUAAUAUAUUUUUCAUCUUUAGUUCUGGAUGAUAAAAAGCUGAACAACUUUUUACCAAAUUAAUUUUGGGAUGUACAUCCGAGGAAAAACAAGAAGACAAUAUAUAUGUAGGCUAUUGCUGGAAGAGUUUUUUGUUGACUGUUUUAACGAUUUUUAUUUUUUUUUGGUUUCGUUGUGGGUAUAAAAAUCUUUAGAGUAGGCUAGUAUAUUAGAUGCAAACGGCAUAUGUUCAAUAAAAGAAAUGUUACUUUGGAGGCACGAUAAAAAAUUUAUGGUAGUUUUUUUUUAAAUUUAUGGUAGUUAUGAGUUAUGACGUUUGAAUAUGUUCGAAAACAAAGAGAGAAUAAUUCAGGGUGUUCCAAAAGUAAAUUAUUUAGUCAUUUAGAUGAAAUAUGGACCCAUAGCUUCACGUGUUGGUCUAUACUUUCCUUUGAUUGUUGAAUUGCCAUCGAAUAAUUUAUAAAUAAAUGUUGUUGUUUGAUCCGUGAUGGAUAAAGAAAUGAAUAUGAAUAGUGGUUGAUUCUUUCAAAGGUAGACGUGAACGGAUUAUUGUGUCCACUCUACAGACAUGAACAUUGAUGUUUAUGACCUAUCCUUAUAAGGGUUUGAUUUGGUCGUUGAAACAAAGAAGAUGGUUUGGAGACUCAUCAUACCUCUAAAUAUUUGGUUUGAAGAUGGUUUCGAACAAAAUCAUGAUACCUCUAAAAAUUUCUUAUUUUCAAAUUUAAUUUUAUCAUCAAAAUUUUAAAAUCUUUUGAAAAGACGGUCCAUGUAAGAGACUAUAUGAUUACCUCGGUAAAAAUCUUGAAUGCACAAGACGUCAAAAUUAACGCAAACCCAUCGACAAAGGUUAAUAUUGAUUCUUUAAAACCAAAAAAGGUUGAUAUGAUUCCGACAAUAUUUUUGAAUUAUGGCUUUUACAAAGAAAAACAGUUACCGCUUUUAACCGAAAAUAGAACUCCCUACGGACCGACGCUAAAUCCACAAAUUAUGGAAUUGAGAAAAAAAGAAAAAAGAGACAACAAAACAAGAAAGAAAAGGGAAGAACAUGGAUUUGAAAAUGGUCAAAAGGGGGCCAGUCAAAGGUCAGAAAGGGACAAAUCCGUUGUUUAGUAGUUAUCAUAAAGUGUCGGACAGUUAAUACCGUUGCUUAAAAGUCAAAUCUCUAUCACAUUUUCACUUAUCACUAAUUAGUAAUAACCCCUCCAAUCAAUCUAAUUCCAAAAAAAUUAAUGGUAGUAUUUUGGAAUAUUCCUCUAAUUAAAAAGCCAUAUUUUUUUAAAAAAAAAUUUUGACGUCAAUAAAAAACCUUUUUUAAAAAAAUUCCGUGAUACCAAUUUUUUUUUCCUGAAAUAUUCUGCCUUUAUUUAUCUUUAAUCUCUAAGAUGAAUAAAAGCUAAAGUAAAACAGACAUUGAGGAUUACAAGUGGAAACUGAAACUCGAGUGUGCCACGCCAAGUAGACCAAGAAACUAGUAAACUAGUGAAGAGGAUCCAAAGUGAUCAUAUAUGGGUGUAAGCCUUGAUAACAUGUUGCCCUGCUAUACCAUGCAUAUUCUUCCUCACUCAACAUUCGAAAGCAUAUUAAAAGCUUUUUUCAUUAGAAUCAUUCAACAUCAAAUCUUUUGAUGUAGACAUGUUUCAACUGGAACAUAAUGACGAUAUAAUGUCAAUAAGGAACUAUGGGUUUUAGUAACUAUUUAAACCAAAUUUGUUAACACAUAUAACUGAGGCAGAAAAAUUCGAUUUUUUUAUAUUAAAUAUCGAAUGAAAAAUUAUCAAAAUGUCUUUAGAGUAAUAGUUUUCAAUACUAUUUAUUUAAUUAAAUAGCUCAGUAACUAAAGUAAAGACGUCUACGAUGGUAUAGCGCUGCUACAAAUGAUUAUAGUUAAAAUUGCAAUCUUGACAUUAUUAAUCAGUAUAGUCGUUUGAAAGGAGAAAUAUAUACUAUGUAUGUAAUACCCGAUGGGUCGGUUGUUACUAAAAAUCAAUUUUCGGUUUAUUUAAAUUAAAACAUUUUUUUUAAUUAAAUCCACCCUGAAUCUCUUUUUAAUCUCCUGCGAGCCCAUUAAUCUAACCCAUUAAUUUCAGCCCAUCUAAAUUAACCCUAACUAUAAAUACCUCUCUAAUCUCUCAUUCUCUAUUUUGGAAACCCUAGCCACAUUCUCAUCUUCUCUUUCUCUCAGCCACGCCAACCUCUCUUUCUCUCCCUCACCGUGGCCCUCUCCCUCUAUCUCUCUCUCUUUCUCUUCCUCUCUCUCUUGGCCGCUGCUCUCUCCUCCUCCAUCAGCUACGCUCCCUCUUUCUUCUCUCUUAAACCCUAGCCGCCGCCUCCUUCCAUGACGUUUUCCCGACGAACCGUGUGGAUCCACAAGACGAGCUACCUAUCAAUCUGUAGCCCCGAGUGUCAGCUUUCCAAGGAAACCGAGUUCAUCCAGAUCGGAGAUCUAUGCCAGGAGAUAUCGUCGUUUUCGUGUCGGGUGUCCAGAUCUACUUUGUUGCUAAGGUGAGGAUUAGAUCUAGGGUCUUCUUCUUAUUCUUUUGUCUUCUUCUGGUGUGUGGAGUCUAGAUCUGAUGAGCCUAGGAUGUUUUCUUGUGCAUCUAACUAGAUCUAUGUGUGAAUCUAAUGAAAUGAUAUAGGAUCUCAUUAGAGGAAGAACCAGCAUAUUUGAUUGUUCACCCUGAUGUGUGGUUAGUGAUUGGUAGUGUAGCCAGAUCAGGUGUUCAUCUCGGUGGUGAUGUGCCGAGGUAUGAACUUGUUUGCUGGGCUAUUGCUGUCUGUGUGACUAAAGCGGUAGUUCAACGGUGGGGGAAGGUACGCCGAUCCUUCCGGAGUCUAUAUGACUGGAAGCCUGUCUGUGUGACUUGGCAAUGUUGAACCUGUCUGUGUGACCUGGUGCCUGUCUUUGUGACCUGGCAAUGUAGAGCCUGUCUGUGUGACCUGGCAGUGCCUGUGUGUGUGACCUUGCAAGGUUGGAGACAUCACAAUUGCUUGCUAGUCGUUUGUGCAUUGCUAGGAUGCUUGUGUGUUGCUUGUUGGAUUUAUUCUUGACAUGCUGGUUGGAAAUAAAUGAGUGGGAAGGGAGCCUGAUCUGGUUCUCACUGGGUAAUCCCCAUUACUCACCCCUCUCCUUCCCUUGUCUUAUCAGGUGUAGGUGAAAGAUCAGCCUAAGUCUAUGUUGUUGAUUGUUACCUGGGCGUUUUUGAUCCUGACAGACCUGAGGCUCACCAUCUGGACCAAACCAGGCGUCUGACCGAAUGUGGUUAGAUGGCCAACCUAAAAUUCCCGAUUUUUCUGGUUUUCUUAGGAAGCCUGAGAUAGGGAUGUUACAAAUGGUAUCAGAGCCCAGGGAGAUCUCCUAGUUCUGUCAUAGGAGGUCGCGCCCAUGUUUUACAAAAAAAAUAAUAUAUAUUUUUGUGAAAACAUUUUUACUAAAAAGUUUUAAAAUGUUUUCAAACCUAGAACAACCAACAACUUAUAGACGGCUGGUUUUAUAGUUUUCUCUAUCCUCUUUCUUGUUUGUUGUUAGGGGCCCAGGUUCAGGACGCGAGAAACCGCAUGGAAGAGGGUUAUGUCUUUAACCAUGUGGUAGUUUAAGUCUGCCUUUGGAGUUGCAACAAAAUUGCCUCUAGGCAAGACUGAUUAUUGGUGUGGUUCAGACUGUACUAGGGUGGUUGUUCUGGAACUACUACACCGUGCGAUGCCAGUCCUGACUAUGCAAUCUUUGGUUCUAUAGCAGCCAUCAACAUGUAUGAUUAGGUUCAUACCUGGUCUACAUAGUUAAGGUAUUAAAAGGCAGGCGUCGCAAGAGUCCAUAGAAAUUGUCAGACUGUAAAAAGUCAGGCGAGUUCGAUCUCGGAAUGACGAGGAACCUAGCUGUGUUAUCCAAAGAGAACGGAUGUGCUUGAAUACCUUUGGGGAAUUCACACUCUUAUCCGGAUUCAGAGGAUUUCACGGUGGCCUUAGUGUGUAUCCAAUCCUGCUCAGCCUUAUCAACCAAUAGCUUUCUUUUUCCUUUCCUUCCUUCCUUUUACCUUAGACCUCUGUUCAAGACCCGAGAGUCUGCGCACAAGAAGUUCACUCAUUUUCCUCAAGUGAAGUUUAGCAAAGAGGUGGUUGUCAUUUCGUCUUGUAGUGAAGCAGAAUAAAGUCCUCCCUCUGAUUGUUUCCUUUUUAUAUUUAAAAAAAAAGUUUUCAAAGGAGUAGAACUCUAUUUUUUAUUUGUUUGGAAUGAAUUAGUUAGAUUCUAUGCAAAAGUUGUUUUCAUUUUUCCCUCUAAAAAAAAAAUGUUAUAUUCCUCUUUGUCACAUUAAUCAAAUGGUUUUUUUGGAUUUUACUCAAAAUGUUUUAUUGCAUCAUACCUUAAACUCUCCCUCCUUCACGUUUCUGUCUAUCACUCUGCGUUCUAAACCUUUAGCCUUCAACUCCUUCUUGGCGCCAUAUAUGGGUUAUAUGAUUUCCUUCUUGUUCUUUCGUCUUAGUCAUUAUUUCUCCUUGUGCCAUGGUUCAUUUCUAAUUUCGCUUCUGAUUUUAUUUUUAGUCCCAUUUUUGCUUACAUUUUUGCUCUUCCUUCAAACCUCAUUUCUGUUUCUUUCUUGUUUCAUUUCUGAUUUUUCUUCUUGUCUUUUUCUUCUUAACCUCUAUCUUCCCUAAUGCCAUAGUUCCUUGUGGUUCCAUUCCUAAUCCCCUUCUGAACUUUUAUUCCUGUUUCUCCUUUCGAUUCCAACUCCGAUUUUUUUCUUCUGGAUUCAUUUCAUUUCUUGCUUCCAUUUCCUGAUCUCAUUCCUGACUCCUUUCACUUUCUGCGACCAAGCUCCUCUCCUCCCUUGUGCAUUUAUUUCUCUUGGUCUUUAGCUUUCGAAUUUCCUUUCAGGAACUUCUCCCUAGGAUUCGGGGACGAAUCCCCUUGAAGGGGGAAAGAUUAUAACACCCCGACCCGCCGGGUCGGUUGUUACUAAAAAUUAAUUUCCGGUUUAUUUAAAUUAAAACAUUUUUCUUAAUUAAAUCCACCCUGAAUCUCUUUUUAAUCUCCUGCGAGCCCAUUAAUCCAACCCAUUAAGUUCAGCCCAUCUAAAUUAACCCUAACUAUAAAUACCUCUCUAAUCUCUCAUUCUCUAUUUUGGAAACCCUAGCCACAUUCUCAUCUUCUCUUUCUCUCAGCCACGCCAUCCUCUCUUUCUCUCCCUCACCGUGGCCCUCUCCCUCUAUCUCUCUCUCUUUCUCUUCCUCUCUCCCUUGGCCGCUGCUCUCUCCUCCUCCAUCAGCUAUGCUCCCUCUUUCUUCUCUCUUAAACCCUAGCCGCCGCCGCCUCCUUCCAUGACGUUUUACCGACGAACCGUGUGGAUCCACGAGACGAGCUACCUAUCAAUCUGUAGCCCCGAGUGUCAGCUUUCCAAGGAAACCGAGUUCAUCCAGAUCGGAGAUCUAUGCCAGGAGAUAUCGUCGUUUUUGUGUCGGGUGUCCAGAUCUACUUUGUUGCUAAGGUGAGGAUUAGAUCUAGGGUCUUCUUCUUAUUCUUUUGUCUUCUUCUGGUGUGUGGAGUCUAGAUCUGAUGAGCCUAGGAUGUUUCUUUGUGCAUCUAGCUAGAUCCAUGUGUGAAUCUAAUGAAAUGAUAUAGGAUCUCAUUAGAGGAAGAACCAGCAUAUUUGAUUGUUCACCCUGAUGUGUGGUUAGUUAUUGGUAGUGUAGCCAGAUCAGGUGUUCAUCUCGGUGGUGAUGUGCCGAGGUAUGGACUUGUUUGCUGGGCUAUUGCUGUCAGUGUGACCAAAGUGGUAGUUCAACGGUGGGGGAAGGUACGCAGAUCCUUCCGGAGUCUAUAUGACUGGAAGCCUGUCUGUGUGACCUGGCAAUGUUGAAUCUGUCUGUGUGACCUGGUGCCUGUCUUUGUGACCUGGCGAUGUAGAGCCUGUCUGUGUGACCUGGCAGUGCCUGUCUGUGUGACCUGGCAAGGUUGGAGACAUCACAAUUGCUUGCUAGUCGUUUGUGCAUCGCUAGGAUGCUUGUGUGUUGUUUGUUGGAUUUAUUUUUGACAUGCUGGUUGGAAAUAAAUGAGUGGGAAGGGAGCCUGGUCUGGUUCUCACUGAGUAAUCCCCAAUACUCACCCCUCCUCUUCCUUUGUCUUAUCAGGUGUAGGUGAAAGAUCAGCCUAAGGCUAUGUUGUUGAUUGUUACCUGGGCAUUUUCGAUCCUGGCAGACCUGAGGCUCACCAUCUGGACCAAACCAGGCGUCUGACCGAAUGUGGUUAGAUGGCCAACCUAACAUGCCCGAUUUCUCUAGUUUUUUUAGAAAGCCUGGGAUAAGGAUGUUACAAUGUCAGUUACAGUUAUAUUAUACAUUGUAAUGUGUAAUAUAUGUCAACUAAAUGUGCUACAUGUUCAAGAAGUUUAGUAAAAAAACAAAAGGAGUUAGAAAAACGACUAUUUCUAAUUAUUUAUGUUUAAAAAACUGUCACGCAAUCAAACUUUAAUUCAUGAUAUUUAACCAUUUAGGUUACAAUGAUUUUCUGUGUUUAUGUUUCGCAUUGUGUUUCCGUACUAUAAUUCUCAACCAGUAAUCAGCAUGAACAGAUUAUGAUGGACGGUGCGAAUAUGGACUUUAAAAUGGCCAAAACAUAGCGACCAUAUAUAUAUAUAUAUAUUUUGAAGAUAUAAACGAGAAAUAUACGAUUAAUAUGUGUGAGUAAUAUCUAUACAUGUACGUAAGGGGUUACUGAAGACAGAAGGAGGAAAUGAGCUAAUUUGAAGGCAGGAAGAGUGGUGGAAAUAUGAUGGAGCGAAGAAGCAAAGGAACAUUCAUUUGCCUUUUUAUCUUUUGGAACUUCAAUUUUUUGUCAUUUGUUUUUGGGACAUUAUCUUACAUUCCUUUCAAUUGCCUCAACCUUUCGGCCAUCUCUAUACCCCAUUACAUUUUUUUUUCUCAUUUUAUUUAAAUAUAUGAAGUUCAUAUUGAGCGCCUACAAUUCAAUAAUAUUUAGUUGGACCUGUUUACACCAUGUAAAUAUUUCAUAUGGCUUUUUUUCAAAAAAAAAAAUUGGUCGUGUCAUACAAUAUCAAUCAAAGAUAGUGAAAUACCGAGACCUAAUAUUGCAUGUCAAGUCACCUUUCUGAAAUAGUGAAUAGAUAUAUGUAGAAUAUCCUUUUUAGACAUGAAAUCGCAUUGAUAAGAAAUAAUAAAAAAUAUUGCAUGGACAUUAUAAGUUUGCUACAUAUAUAAGAGUAAAAGUGUCUGCCAAGGGGCAAUGGAUUUUAUAGGACAUAGCAAAGGAGCAAACACUGAACAUGUUCAUGUCCAAUGUUUGAGGUUUAUAAGUCAAAUUGGGUCUACUUACGCUGACCAGAUACAAAGCUAUGGCCCAUAAUAACUCAUGGGGGUUUACAUGUACAAUCCUUUUUUUUUCGUGUGGCAAAGUUACAUGUACUACCCUAAUUACUUCAUGUCAUGAUUUCUAUGGGAAAUGAACAUAUAAUAAUUUUCUCCAUUACUCUUAUUUUAGAAUAGUGUAGGUGCUUCGUUUUAUUUAGUUCUCAAUGUUUCCUUCGAAUUAAAGACGAGAUAGAUCGUAUCCGACAAAUGUUAGAGAUGUGUCGACAUGUUAAAGAAACUCAAGAUAUUUAAUGUGUCAGGAGCCACGGAGUUUUAAUAGUAUUGCAAAUAGGAUAUGAAUUGGUUGCUUCACGCAUGACGACGAGUCUUGGAUAGUGAACGACCACAUAGCUAUUUGUUGAUCAUAUCGUGGGUGUUCUUUUUUUUUUUUAGCAAAAAAAUAUAAUUCUAGCAAUGCGUUUGUUGUAUUGUCUUUUAAUUGCUGAAGAAGCUCGAACAAAGUAAAUGUAAUUCUCUUACACACAUAUAUUUUUUUUCCAAAACAUUUUCAAUUCGGUUAUAUUUUUUUUCCACGAUACAGAAAAUAAAUACAGUAUGUGUUUUGUUGAAAGAUCGAGAUUAUACUUAUGUAACAACAUUAUAAAGGACGAUACUAACGUUUUGUAGAUAGCAUCAUAACCAAGAGGUCCAAGAGAACUACGUCUUUUGGCAAUGGAAGCAAGUGAUGCCCUUCAUCAUCAUAAACUACUUCCAAAUUGUAUCUUUCACGUUUCUGCAAAAAAAAAAGAAAAACCUGUUACACAUAUGCGUGUACAUAUACACAUAAGAAUUCUAUAUAACUAUCUACUACAUAUAAAGCCAUCUUAAUUUAUUAGGGUAUAAUGAACGUAUUAGAUUAUUUUGAAAUUAAAUAUUGGUUUAAACGACUAUGGCGACAUCGUUCAUCUCUGGUAUAAAACUCUGUAGAGGAUUGAUACAUGGUCUAACAUACUUGAGACCAUAUCGCAAGUGAUAGUCUUUUAAAAUUAUCAAAAUUUCUAGUCUAGUAGUACUCUUUUUUUUUUUUAGCGCUAAAAUAACUACUCAAAAUUCCUUUCAAGUUUGGUCAUGUUUGUUUAUAACAUCCAAUUUUAUAGCGCUAAAAUAACUAAGUAACUAACACACGAGCUCAACUUACAAAAACCUGUUCGAAUCUUAUACCGUAUUUGGCCAUACUCUUUCGAAAACAUCCAGUUAUCUAAUCUAUUUGUUCCAUGACUCAGUUAAGCAUCAUAACUUUUUUUGGAAAACACUUUGAAAACUUGGUUUUCGUAGAAUAGAAACAGCCUAUGCGUAGCAGUUGAACUAACAUUUUGUUUACGACCGUAGAGGUAUUUGGACCAAAUGUUUCGAAUCGGCAAGUUUUGACAUCAUGUCCAUGACAUUUGGGCUUUAUAAGAACCCAUCUCCAGGAAUUGGUAGCGACUGGGUAUUGAAUCCAUUGACCAACUGACUUGUAUAAGUAUUGAUAUUAGGUCCAUAACAUUUAAGCCAGUUUGUUCAUACCACUUCAUACUAUAUUGGUUCAGUUUAGAUACCGUGAUUUUAGUAUUUUGGGAGGUUCUCAAAUGUGCUCAUCGUAUUCAUAUUAUGGGCAGGGGGAUCGAAAACGAGACAAGACUGUUAAAUAGAGAAGCAAUAUGAAGAGACCACGAAAUAGAGUGAAAACUGAAUCAAACCAAAGCGAAGUAGUCAAUGGCAGCAUUCAGACAGACAAGAAAACGGUCUCCACUUUUAAUCUCAAUCUUAAUUAUAAGUUUCUCAAAAAAGACCAUUGGUGCAUCCAAUGCAACAAACAUAGGCGAAGAGCUUAGUACCGCCCGAAACUGCCAUCCUCUCACAAAACCCCUAUUUGCUUCGAAGCGCCUGUUACAUUUCAGAAUUGGCGCCUUGGAGGCCUAGCCUCAGCUUCCGAGACUCUAAUUUGCCUGCCGUCCAAAUCCUAUAAGCCACCAUAAAAAGUAUAUUAAGAGCUGUUUGAUUCAGUGCAUUGUAUGUAUAUAUAUAUAUAUAUAUAGGUGUGAGUAAUAGAGAAAAGGUUACUUACAGCACCGUUCAAGGUUCUGAUAGCAUUUUGGACCUCUUGAGCAGAGUUGUAUGUCACAAAUCCGAAACCCUUUGAUCGACCACUGUCCCUGUCGUAGAUGACUCUGGCCUCAACAACUUUUCCUUGCUCCCCGAACAAAUUCUCAAGAGCCAUGUCGUCGACUCCCCAAGAGAGGUUACCGACAUAAACACGGUUUCCUGAACCAGCUCCGGAACCUCCACCAUAUCCAGAACCAGAGCUUCCAAAGCUGCUUCUGGGUCCUCUAGAGAAGCCAUCUUCUCUCUUGGGUGGAGGAGGACCGGCAUUAACUCUCAAGGGUCUACCAUCCAACUCCUGCAAUUUAAUAUCAAAAUGAUUAUUAACUAAAAGCAACCAGAAGCUUAUGCAAUAAGAACAACAACAAACAGAAAGUUACGGUUUUUAUCUUAAGAAGCCAGAACAUCACACAAGAUUGAAGAUUUAAUUCAUCUAAGGACAAGUUCAAAUUUCCAAGACACCUUAAGUAUCCACCAUAACGACAUCAUUGCUAUUGUGGAAAUGAACACAAACACGCACAAAAAGAACAACAAUUCACAAAUUAAAGAAACACCAAAACAUAAACGCAUACCAACAAGAAAGGAUACAAGAUUCAUAUCAUUAUCAACAAUCAAAGAAUAGAGAAGUAAUCUUCUUACAUAGCCAUUGAACUGCUGAGCAGCUGCCUCAACCUCAGAGGCUGAAGACAUAGUCACGAAUCCGAAACCCCUGCUUCGUCCUGUGAUUUUGUCAUAAAUCACCUACAAAGACAAAAAACCAAAACCCAUUAAUCUCAACAACACAAAAACUAUCUUUACCUCUUCUUGCUAGUGCCAAUUGUCAACAGAAACCGUAAAGGACAAUCAUUUAAUCUAAGCAAAUGUUAUAUCUCCCAAAUUCGACAUCACAUCAAUCAGCAAAAUGAAAUUCCGAAAAAAACCUAAAUUCUAUACCUCAACAAUCUCAACAGUUCCGGCGCUCUCGAAAAGCUGAGCGAGCCUUGCACUGUCAACGUCAAAGGGAAGGUUACCGACGAAGAGUUUGAGGUCAGCGGAGAAGGAUUGCUCCCUUGGCGCCGCAUCGUCGGCGAAAAUGCCGUCUUCUUCAACCUCGAAGUCCUCAGUGACCGCUACGUUACGGACGAAGCGAGACGCGGCGGAGCUCCAUUUGGCGGCGGAGGAAGCGAAGAUGGAGACGGAAACGGAUUCGGAAUUGAGUUUGAAAGAGACGGAAGGAGGUAAUAGGGAAGCGGAGGCGGGUCUGGAGACGCAGAAAGGAAGGGAUUUGGGGUUAAAGGUAGAGAGAGCGAGAGACGAAGCUGAAGCAGCCAUUGGGAUAGGGAGUGAAGAGAUAAGGCUUUUAGGGGUUUUUGGGUGAGAUUUGAGAGUGGAGAUAAGAAGCAGUGUGUUUGAUAUUUAUGGGCGAAAUGAAGAAGAUAAAAAAACUCUACGAAAGCUUUGCAUAAAUAUCUCAUCCCUGAUUUUUAUUCACAGAUUUAACCUUAAACUAUUUUUCCUGCUAAAUGUUCUGUUUCUUCUAAUAUUAAAAAUAAUAAUAAUUGUAUCUAGUUUUGUAAAUUUAAUUUAAUUUUCUCAAAAAAUUCAGAAUCAUAAGAAACUAUAUUCUGAAAUUAUGUAUUUUCUCAAAAAAUGAUAUAUUUUCUCUUACAAUAUUUUUUUAAUAUGCUUUUCGUAUUUACUUAUUGAAUAUUUGAGUGUACACGAAGAUCUCAAUUUUCCAAAAUAUUAUUUGUGAUAAAGUGCUUUUUUAUCACUUGAAUUGUGUUUGGUUAUCUACUAACAACUUGUCAUAAUUUUAAAUGAAAUGAUGUAUGAGAUGAAAUCUGAGCCGUCGAAAUUUGGAUGGACAGUGGAGAUGGCACGUCUCGUGCUAAGGCAAAAAAAAUCUACGAGAAGAUAAGAUAUUUAACUAAAAGCCAACGGAAGAUUCAACUCGACUGUACACUCUUGUUCCAGCACAGAUAUUCAACUUGCUCGAGGAAAAAAAAAACUGAACAUCCUUUUCAAACAAAAUAUCUUUGUAAAUGAUUUUAAAAACAAAAUUAACAACGGUAGCUAAGAAAACUAAAUCAGAAAACGAUACAGCUUCUACCAAAAAGCACUGAAACAUACAAACGUGUCCUUCGAAACUUGUUUCGUAAAAAGGAUUUAUUUGGAUAACAGAAGCUUGAAGUUCUUGAACUACCAAUGAAAGUGAAAAGACUAAGAAAGAAUCAAUUCUUUAAGUUUCUAUAGAGAGACUGUGCUCUGUUUCUUGUCUUUCUUGAUUCCUUCUCCCUUUUUGAUCAUUCUAGAAAGAACAUCUGCUUGCUUUGUGUUCCCUUCUUGGUUUAAACUCUUGAUCAGAUCAUCACAGCUUUUCCAAUCGGUUACACUUCCUUUCGCCAUGAUCUUACACAGAACCGAGUACGCAUUCAGAGUCUUACCAGCUCCUAAAAGCGCAUCCAACACCUUGUCGUAGCUCGAAAAGUCUAAGCUAAGAUCUCUCUCCAACCCGAAAUCUAACAGCUUCAGUGCUGCAAUCGUCUUCCCUUUCUCGCUCAGGACCGAUAAAAGGCUGUCGAGAUCAGCUGAGUGUCCAUUUUGGUUCAGAAGAUCUAUACGCCCGAGGGCUUCUUCUACGUGCCCUCUCAUUAACAGAGCUUCCAAGAUCUUGGCAACCAAAUCCAUGUUGUCUUCUAUGCCAACGUUUUUAUCUAUCAUGAUCAUCAUCACACGGCUUGCGGUCUGCACCCUACCAUCCUCGAACAAACUCUCAAUCACUGACCUGAAAAGCGAUGAAUCCGGGACAUGUCCGUCCUCGACCAUGCUGUCUAGUGCGGUUUUGGCGUCUCCAGGCUCACCUUUGCUCAUGUAGCUCUUUAUGAGCAGCUCAUAUGCGUUUGCAUCUCGAGGGACACCUCUCCUCGACAUUAUCUUCAGAAUCUCGUAACUAGAAUCCGGGUUUCCUUCCUUUGCAUGCCCACGGAUCAGAUUGUUUAAGGCCUCUUGGUCUUGGACACCUCUUUUCAUCAGCUGCCGGAAAAGCACUUCUGCUUUCGAGGUUUGGCCAUUGUUGCACAGAUACUCGAUGAUUGGGUUAUAAGCGUUCGGCUCCAUUUCCAGAGUGUCCUGAUGCCUCAAAAUGAUUUCUUUCUCAACUAGAAUGUCUAAAAGCUUGAUAGCACGAUUGUGUGCGUUAGCCUUGCAUUGAUUCUCGAUUAAGACCCCGUAGUGUCCCGCUUCUGCUGGAACGUUCAGUGUCGCCAUAGCUUUGAGCACCUCAGUGGCUGCCGCCAUAUCCCCAGCUUUGCUUUGGGAAACCAAAAGCUUAAGGAAGAUGGAGUUAUCUUUUGGAGCAAUGUGUUUCGCCAUCAUAUUCUUCAAGAUACUCUUAGCCUCCACCAUUUUACCAGCAUCACACAGACCAGGCAACAAUGUCGAAUACGUCGUAGCAUUAGGCUCGAUACCAAAAGAUCUCAUCUCAUCAAAGAUUCUCAACCCAUCAUCAACUCGUUCCACUGCUAAAUAUCCUUUAAUCAUAGUGGUGUAACUCACAACACUAGGCUCGAUGUUUUUCCCCUUCAUCUCCACAAAAACCUUCUCUGCCUCGUCCAUCUUCUUAAACCGGCAAUACCCAUUAAUCAUAGUGUUGUAAGUAACAACAUCCGGCGAGAUCCCUCGGCUAAUCAUAUCUUCAUAGAAUCUCAAAGCAGUCUCUAGCCUCAAAGACAAAAAGAACCCCCAAAGCAUUAGAUUGUAAGUGUGCCUAGUUGGCUCUAUACCUUCACUUACCAUCUUAUUGAAAUACCGUUUCGCCAUCAUAUACCUACCACGCCUGAGAAUCACCUUGAACAGAGUAUCAUAAGACUUGAUCGUCCUCUCCACACCCAAAUCCUUCAUCUUCUGGAAGAUUUUAACAGACUCUUGAACAAUACCGGCUUUGCCAUAACUCUCGAUGAGAACCACAAACAUAUCUUCAUCCCAAGGAAUACCUUUUUCAGGCAUAUCCAAGAGAAUGCAUCGAGCAUGGUUGAGCUUUGAGGCCUGUCCCAGCAUCUCAAUCAUUUUCAUAUGCGUAUCUCUAUCGUGGCGGAUCAAUCCGGAUCUCUCCGACCACCGGAAAAAUUGGAGAGCGUGGUCAAGUUUCCGAGCACCGUGCAAGACAUUAUACACCAAAGAGUGAUCCCAUUCGGGUACGAGAUCUCGGAUCGAGUUCUGUAAACGGGUCGUCCAUUCCCGAUUAUCCAUCAUUCUACAUAUUGUAUCCUCUAGCUUUUCAUGGUUUUGACGCUUACCUCGUUGGAAUCUCUCCCUAAGCGGCCUUCCCUCGGGUCGUAUUGAACCCAGAUUCGUCGUCUCGGGUUUAACAGCAUCAGCAGAUUGGGUUUGUGGGUUCGCGACUGGAUUCUGGGUUUCUUCAAUCGAGCUGAAUAAACGGGAGACUGAGAGGAAAGACGAGUCUGACGAUCUGGGAAGCGAGAGACGAACUCUAGCUCUCCACUGAUAGGGUUUAGAUCUGGAAAUGAAAGCCAUUACAGCAGGUAAUUUACUGUACUCCGAAAUGGGUUUUUACGAAAACCUUCGAUUAUAGAAUCUUUGGUUCUGAAUUUCUGAAAUUUUCAAUCCACAUGAAGGAGCUAGUGAAAGAAGGGAGACAGCAAGAGAUUUUAGUGACGGUAGGGUUUAGGGAGGAAAUGCAGUCCUGGAUCCAAGAUCUUGUUUCGGGUCGGG
rnacentral:lncRNA from 1 species